rnacentral:lncRNA from 1 species
GGCGUGGAGAUCUAAUAGACACAAAACUAGAUGUCUGGGUUAGAGCAAAUAGAAGAAGAAGAGGAUCUUCUUCUAGAGUUGCUGGGUUCAUCUCUUCCCUUCCUCCAUCUGUAAGCUUUCUGAGAGUAUCUCAUCUAAAACUCUUUCUCCUACUUCUCAUCUUUAGAAGAGUCCAAAUCAAGAAGAAAGAGGCAUCUAAUUGACCAUCAAAGAAGGAUCAGCACAGUACUAGCAUACUAUGCUGAUUUUCUGGACCAGGACUUCUGAUCGUGAUUCAUGGGCUCGUGUGGAUGACUCCUAGAGGCCGAAUGUGUGUGC